UAACUACUCCCUCCGUUUGGAAUUACUCGUCGAAGAAAUGAAUGUAUCUGGAUGUAUUUUAGUUGUAGAUACAUUCAUUUUUGUGACAAGUAAUUCCGAACGGAGGGAGUAGUAU
rnacentral:pre_miRNA from 1 species